GUAAGAUGCACAUAAUCUUACUCCUUUCUUUAUGAGGUAGAAAGUUGUUUUCGAUUGAUUUUCGAUAACGUAACCCUCCUCCAUUAUGCAUGCUUCAGAUAGACAAUAUAAGAGAGCUUAAACAACUAAUAUUAUAUAAGUUUUACACUAUUUUGAUUUAUUUAAAUGUACUUAGAUACUACAACCAAGUACGUCAUACUUGAUUUCUUUUUUAUUAAGUGAAAUUUCUCUUACUAAUGAAUUAAACUUUUUCAUGAUGGCUUCUUUUGGAUGUUUCAACCUGCUGCUAGUGUCUUAAUUUCUAUAGGAUCGAGAAUUUGGAGCUGCAAAUCAAGAAGUGCACAUUGGAAUUGCAGAUUGUAGAUGCUAACAUAAGGGACUAUGUUCCAGGACCAGAGCAAGUGUCUUCUCUUCAUCAACUCUCUUGGUGUGAGAGCAACUUGCAAAAAUCUAUCCAAAAAGUUAUGGCUAGAAAGAGCCAACAACAAAAUAUGGUGGCAGAUGUCCAGCAAAAUUCAACACAAACAUUUGGACAAUCACCG